rnacentral:rRNA from 1 species
UGGGGAAUAUUGCACAAUGGGCGCAAGCCUGAUGCAGCCAUGCCGCGUGUGUGAAGAAGGCCUUCGGGUUGUAAAGCACUUUCAGCGAGGAGGAAGGUGGUGAACUUAAUACGUUCAUCAAUUGACGUUACUCGCAGAAGAAGCACCGGCUAACUCCGUGCCAGCAGCCGCGGUAAUACGGAGGGUGCAAGCGUUAAUCGGAAUUACUGGGCGUAAGGCGCACGCAGGCGGUUUGUUAAGUCAGAUGUGAAAUCCCCGGGCUCAACCUGGGAACUGCAUUUGAAACUGGCAAGCUAGAGUCUCGUAGAGGGGGGUAGAAUUCCAGGUGUAGCGGUGAAAUGCGUAGAGAUCUGGAGGAAUACCGGUGGCGAAGGCGGCCCCCCUGGACGAAGACUGACGCUCAGGUGCGAAAAGCGUGGGGAGCAAAACAGGAUUAGAUACCCUGGUAGUCCACGCUGUAAACGAUGUCGAUUUGAAGGUUGUGCCCUUGAGGCGUGGCUUCCGGAGCUAACGCGUUAAAUCGACCGCCU